GAUUCUGGCUCAGGAUGAACGCUGGCGGCGUGCUUAACACAUGCAAGUCGAACGAGGCUUGGCAGCGGAAGUUUCGGAUGGAAGCGGCCAUGACCGAGUGGCGGACGGGUGAGUAACGCGUGGGGAACCUGCCCCAUUCCGGGGGAUACCAGUUGGAAACGACUGUUAAUACCGCAUAAGCGCACGGGAAGACAUCUUCCAGUGUGAAAAAACUGAGGUGGAAUGGGAUGGCCCCGCGUCUGAUUAGCCAGUUGGCAGGGUAACGGCCUACCAAAGCGACGAUCAGUAGCCGGCCUGAGAGGGCGACCGGCCACAUUGGGACUGAGACACGGCCCAAACUCCUACGGGAGGCAGCAGUGGGGAAUAUUGCACAAUGGGGGAAACCCUGAUGCAGCCGACGCCGCGUGAGUGAAGAAGUAUUUCGGUAUGUAAAGCUCUAUCAGCAGGGAAGAAGAUGACGGUACCUGCACAAGUAGCCCCGGCUAACUACGUGCCAGCCGCGGC
rnacentral:rRNA from 1 species